AUUGAACGCUGGCGGCAUGCCUUACACAUGCAAGUCGAACGGCAGCACGGGUGCUUGCACCUGGCGGCGAGUGGCGAACGGGUGAGUAAUACAUCGGAACAUGUCCUGUAGUGGGGGAUAGCCCGGCGAAAGCCGGAUUAAUACCGCAUACGAUCUACGGAUGAAAGCGGGGGACCUUCGGGCCUCGCGCUAUAGGGUUGGCCGAUGGCUGAUUAGCUAGUUGGUGGGGUAAAGGCCUACCAAGGCGACGAUCAGUAGCUGGUCUGAGAGGACGACCAGCCACACUGGGACUGAGACACGGCCCAGACUCCUACGGGAGGCAGCAGUGGGGAAUUUUGGACAAUGGGCGAAAGCCUGAUCCAGCAAUGCCGCGUGUGUGAAGAAGGCCUUCGGGUUGUAAAGCACUUUUGUCCGGAAAGAAAUCCUUGGCCCUAAUACGGUCGGGGGAUGACGGUACCGGAAGAAUAAGCACCGGCUAACUACGUG
rnacentral:rRNA from 1 species